AACGAACGCUGGCGGCAUGCCUAACACAUGCAAGUCGAACGAGAUCUUCGGGUCUAGUGGCGCACGGGUGCGUAACGCGUGGGAAUCUGCCCUUUGGUUCGGAAUAACAGUUGGAAACGACUGCUAAUACCGGAUGAUGACGAAAGUCCAAAGAUUUAUCGCCAGAGGAUGAGCCCGCGUAGGAUUAGCUAGUUGGUGUGGUAAAGGCGCACCAAGGCGACGAUCCUUAGCUGGUCUGAGAGGAUGACCAGCCACACUGGGACUGAGACACGGCCAGACUCCUACGGGAGGCAGCAGUGGGGAAUAUUGGACAAUGGGCGAAAGCCUGAUCCAGCAAUGCCGCGUGAGUGAUGAAGGCCUUAGGGUUGUAAAGCUCUUUUACCCGGGAUGAUAAUGACAGUACCGGGAGAAUAAGCUCCGGCUAACUCCGUGCCAGCCGCCGCAGUAA
rnacentral:rRNA from 1 species